rnacentral:ncRNA from 1 species
GGCGGGUCGAUAGGGCCGAAUGUAACACCCGCAAGGGAAAUAAGCCCAGCCGACUUGGUUCGGUAGUUGAGACCCGCCGCCUCAGC